GCGAAAAGAAAGGAAGCCCUUCCUCGGUUAGCAGCCCGGCGAGCGACGACAAGCGCAUCAUCCCGCUUUACCUCUUUCAGCGUGCGUGCGUACGGCGGCGAAGGGUGGGCGGCAAAAUGACAUCCUUAUCGGAUGGCUCGCGUGCCUGCGUACGGCGGCGAAGGGUACGAGAAACAACACACCCAGAUUUCUGCCAGGCACCAGCAACAUGAACGUCGAGGAAGAAGUGUUCCGGAUUCAGAAGAAGCUCGGCAAAAUGACAUCCUUAUCGAAUGGCUCGCGUGCCUGCGUACGGCGGCGAAGGGUACGAGAAACAACACACCCAGAUUUCUGCCAGGCACCAGCAACAUGAACGUCGAGGAAGAAGUGUUCCGGAUUCAGAAGAAGCUCGGCAAAAUGACAUCCUUAUCGGAUGGCUCGUCACUCGCCUGGCGGCGCGUUAUCUUCCGCCAAGAUUCCAAGUUCUUGGGGUGUGCACUUGCAAGAAUCCAAGAGGGAAAAUAUCUGCUGGGUAAUUCGCUGUUCUGGGUUGUAUCUUUUCGAUGCGUGCGUACGGCGGCGAAGGGUACGAGAAACAACACACCCAGAUUUCUGCCAGGCACCAGCAACAUGAACGUCGAGGAAGAAGUGUUCCGGAUUCAGAAGAAGCUCGGCAAAAUGACAUCCUUAUCGGAUGGCUCGCGUGCGUGCGUACGGCGGCGAAGGGUACGAGAAACAACACACCCAGAUUUCUGCCAGGCACCAGCAACAUGAACGUCGAGGAAGAAGUGUUCCGGAUUCAGAAGAAGCUCGGCAAAAUGACAUCCUUAUCGGAUGGCUCGCGUGCGUGCGUACGGCGGCGAAGGGUACGAGAAACAACACACCCAGGUUUCUGCCAGGCACCAGCAACAUGAACGUCGAGGAAGAAGUGUUCCGGAUUCAGAAGAAGCUCGGCAAAAUGACAUACUUAUCGGAAUUUUUUUUUUAAUUUCUUAAAUUAAAUACCGCUGUCUUCCUUUCUG